CCUACGGGAGGCUGCAGUGGGGAAUAUUGGGCAAUGGGCGCAAGCCUGACCCAGCAACGCCGCGUGAAGGAAGAAGGCUUUCGGGUUGUAACCUUCUUUUCUCAGGGACGAAGAAAGUGACGGUACCUGAGGUAUAAGCCACGGCUAACUACGUGCCAGCAGCCGCGGUAAUACGUAGGUGGCAAGCGUUAUCCGGAUUUAUUGGGUGUAAAGGGCGUGUAGGCGGGAGCGCAAGUCAGAUGUGAAAACUCAGGGCUCAACCCUGAGCCUGCAUUUGAAACUGUCUGUCUUGAGUGCUGGAGAGGCAAUCGGAAUUCCGGGUGUAGCGGUGAAAUGCGUAGAUAUACGGAGGAACACCAGUGGCGAAGGCGGAUUGCUGGACAGUAACUGACGCUGAGGCGCGAAAGCGUGGGGAGCAAACAGGAUUAGAUACCCCGGUAGUC
rnacentral:rRNA from 1 species